rnacentral:rRNA from 1 species
GACAGAGGAGCCAAGCGUUGUCCGGAUUGACUGGGCGUAAAGCGCACGCAGGCGGUCGCGCGCGUGGGGUGUGAAAUCUGGCCGCUUAACGGCCAGGCGCCAUCCCAUACGGCGCGACUGGAGUGAUGCAGAGGUCGAUGGAAUUGCCGGUGUAGUGGUGAAAUGCGUAGAGAUCGGCAGGAACACCCAGGGGGAAACCAGUCGACUGGGCAUCUACUGACGCUGAGGUGCGAGAGCGUGGGGAGCGAACCGG